AUUCCCUCAGUAGCGGCGAGCGAACGGGGAAAAGCCCAUUAAGUCAUAUCAGUUUUAGUGGAAUGCUCUGGGAAGUGCAACCAUAGUGGGUGAUAGUCCUGUACACGAAAGGGCUGAUAUGAUGAUGUCGAGUAGGGCGGGGCACGUGAAACCCUGUCUGAACGUGGGGGGACCACCCUCCAAGCCUAAAUACUCCCUGGUGACCGAUAGUGCACAAGUACCGUGAGGGAAAGGU
rnacentral:rRNA from 1 species